CGCACGGGUGAGUAACACGUAUCCAACCUGCCGUCUACUCUUGGCCAGCCUUCUGAAAGGAAGAUUAAUCCAGGAUGGCAUCAUGAGUUCACAUGUCCGCAUGAUUAAAGGUAUUUUCCGGUAGACGAUGGGGAUGCGUUCCAUUAGAUAGUAGGCGGGGUAACGGCCCACCUAGUCAACGAUGGAUAGGGGUUCUGAGAGGAAGGUCCCCCACAUUGGAACUGAGACACGGCCAA
rnacentral:rRNA from 1 species